rnacentral:lncRNA from 1 species
CCAAGAGAGUUCUUGGAUUUCUAUCAGAGAAAGAAUCCUGGCUGCCACUAAACGACAGCCUAGGUCCCACCACACCCCCCCACACCCCUUGACCCCCAUGUGAUAUGUCGGUACGAUUCGGUUCAAUGCCGAACCAUACCGAACCAAGCCAUACCGCCAGGUUUUGGGUGGUAAGGCUCCAAACCAUGCCGAACUGUCCGAUUCGAUGCGGUUCGGAUGAUUUUUCGAAAAAAAAGGCCGACCU